GUCUACAGCUUGUCAAAGUACAAUGCCAGUUCAUAAUGUUCCGCAACUACUACCAGUACUACCAGUAUCAGAUGGAAUGCACUGUCAGAUUUGACUGAAAACCGCGUUUCAUUAAUCACCCGGGGAGGCUAAUACUCACAAAAGCAGCAAAAUACACAAUUUUUUUCGGAUGGCCUAGAUUAGGUUGCGAACUUCGCUUCCUUCUAGCAAAUCACUAUCUUCCCCGUAACUAUAAUGAACGUACCAAUUUCUUUAAUUCAAAGCAACCGCGUUGAAAUCUUCCUGUAUCUUUCCUGAAUCUUCAAAAUGCGGGAAAUUUCAUAAACAUGACAAGUUCCUGUUGAUGUCAGACACCUUGAUGGAGCAACGAGGAGAAGUGGACAAAAUACGACGAUUUGCUCAUAUUUCCGGUCAUACCGGAACGACUCAGAGAACUACUUUUGCAAUAAGGCAGACUACUACCACAAUUGAAAGCGCGAAGCCCAUAAUGAUCAAAUACCAAGAGCAUUAUGGCGCUGUCACCAAGUCACGUUACAUAUAAUGUUCUAUAUUUGUAGAAACCCUGGAGGAGCGUUACUCUCAGGACUGGUCUGUGCUAAUAUGGCGCAACAAUGCCCUUGUUUCGAUCCUCACACUUUGUUUCGCAACCAACGUAACUACGUACUCGAUCAGUAACAGUCGUCCUUUCUAGAUUCAAAUAGUCGUGGUGAAGGCUCCCUGCGAAUACGACAACGCAAAUGCCACGGAGGAGGUGUUAGAAGCCAACAGUGCAAAAAAAAAAAAAAGGAAAACUCAACCAUGCGCAUUUGUUGUUUUAAAGGAGGUCUUCGAAGCAUGUUGCAUUGUAUUCUACUAGAAGUGGGCGUGAUGUGUUUCACUCAGAAUGACACUGCAUGCCGUGCUUUUCUUUUUUUUUUAGUUUUUUUUAUGUUUCUCUUUAUUUAUUAAGUUUUUUUAAACCCCGGAAACAAGCACUCCCUAUCGAGUUCGUCUUUGGAAACUUCUUUGGCAUCUCUUUAUUUUUUUCCAUAUGACAACUUUGAAAAGUACUUUGAACUUUUCUUUUUACUACUUGAAAUCUUUCUUUUGAAAGUGUCAGUUUUUUUGUGCAUAUAUUCACGAUACGAUAAAAGCACGAGGGUAAAGCUAAAUCUAAGGUCGCUGUGUUGCAACACUACGUAUCUUCUAGCGCAUAAAACGGCGGGCGUCUGCUUUCCUCAUCGCUGUAACCAAUUUCAUCGAUGACAGGUGCCAGAAAACACGCCACCGUGAACUACGCUUGCGCUGACAUUGUUAAUCGAGUUCACAACAGAUACAAUAUAGAACGUUUCAGUACAUAAGCAUUAUUACGAAAUCCGUCCAGCAGGAAACAGAAAUACGACGCUGGUAUGUAUUCACUUCUGGUCUAAAUUAUCUCCGUUAAGCCUUCUGCCGCCUGUUCCCGAAGACUUUGGCGAAGCAGGUGCUCUCGCCAUGCCACUCCGGUUUUCGCUCUCAAGGAGAGCACUGACUACUUAAGGAGGGCGUUUAUAACCAGCCCAACGUUUCGCCACCACGACCACCCAGCUGAAGUAAGACUCGCAGGAGGGGUCGGAUUGAUUACUCGCAGUCUAAGGUUGGGAAAGGAACCACGCAAUCAUCUCGGCGAGACGGCACCUGCAACGUGUGCUCAUGCUGUGCCGGAAAGAAAGCGAGAAGGGGAGGUGAGGGGUCGUCGCGAAUGUCACUGCCGGCCAACAACACGGCUGCUACUGCGACUCACGAGUGGCUUUCCCUCAAAUGAAACAGAUCGAAUCGAAGAAGAAAAAGAAAGGAAGUGGGGAAGGGGGGGGGGGGGAUGUACAGAAAGACGUAAAGCGGGCGGCCAGCUUAGUGUGGAAGGGCACCCUUCACCCUCAACGCAGAGAGUAGCGAGAGGAAAGGAUCGCAACCGCGCAAUAAAAAAAAAUAACAAUAAAAAGACGAGAGAAAAGGGCCAGCCGAAGCAAGAAAGCAGAGCCAACAGGAGACGACAGGCCCCGUUUUAUGAAGCCCCAGGCGAGGCCCGGUUGGUCAAGCGCUGGGCGGCGGCAAAUGAAAGCGCCAUCGGCGCCAUGGUCUCCAUUAGGAGAGCGCCGCGCCGGAGGAGAAGCCGAAAGCUUCCGCUCGCCUUUCCCCUCGCCCGCCGGGCACCAAAAGAGGCGCGCGCACGCCGGAGGCCGCCGCCGCGAAUUAAUGACCGAACGCGCGCCUCCAGUAAUGGACUCGUAGGCCCGGACCAAAGGGUGGCGCGCGGCCCCGACGCCCACGACGCCCGCGGCGGAGCGGAACCCCGUAGCGCCGCUGACCGGCGCAACCGGCGCGUUUAAUGGCUAAUUGCGCCUUAAUUCGGCGCCGCCGUUGGGGCGCUCCGGGCCACAGCCCCGGGGGACGACGACGACGGACGCGUCGCAGCUGGCCGCUCCUCGCCGGACCACACGCGCUGAGGACGCUGCGGGGACCGGCCGGACGCCGACGACCUGGGCGCUCGCCUCCUGCGGAGAUUCGACGAGCACGGCGGCGACGCGGCGCGAACGUCCACGACGUCCGCGCCUUGUGAGGGCCGAGAGGAAGGGGAACGUCCCUCGCCGGCAGCCUAUAUAUGAAAGAUGGCGGCGCCUCGACACCCGACGAAUAGCCAAUGAGGGCUGACCCUUGGAAUGCGCCGUCUCGACGCGGGAAAUUCGGCUAGCGAACAGGGAAAGCAAGGGAGCGACUGGCCUGCUGCUGCGGUACGGCCGUGGCCGGCGGCGGCGACCACCGCCGGACAGAUGUCCUGACCGAGAGCCGUUGGACACCGAGCCACCUGGGCUGUACGUCGCCGGAGGCCAGAAAGGAAACGGAGCGAGGCGAGGAGGAGGGGGAGGGAAGCGGCGGGACAGCGACCCGAGGCGAGCCCCACCCGCGGUGCCCUGGUCACUGGGCCGCAGGCGGGCGUCCUUGGCCGAGGCCGUUGUCCGACGCGGCUUCCCCCACCGACGCCGCUCCAGAGGCGCGCAAGGGCUUUCCUGCAGGCGCGGUCACCCUGCGACUCUUAUAACUCCUGAGGAAAUUCUAUGUGCGUGUUUCCUCCACCGCAUUACGUCGCCGCUACCACGAACCGAAGCUUUCUGCCUUGGAUCGCGUUUGAUCAACUGGCCUCCGCGACAAACAUACCAAGAUCGUGUAUCACCUAGGUGACAAGGGACUCGGGCGGUGGCUACACGCGCCGCUGGCUGGGAGAGCAACGCAGCUCACUGCUGUAGUUAAUGGAGACAUACUUCGACGACCCCGCUUCGAGUUAUGCUCGGUGUCCUAUUUGUAAACAGGAUAUGCAGCUCCACAUGUGCGUGCCAUUAUACAGUUUAUUUGUCCCUUCUCUA